AGAGUUGAUCCGUGGCUCAGAACGAACGCUGGCGGCGCGUUUAAGCAUGCAAGUCGAGCGGCAAGGGCCUUCGGGCCCUAGAGCGGCGGACGGGUGAGUAACACGUGGACAAUCUGCCCCCCGGCCCGGGAUAGCCCAGGGAAACCUGGAUUAAUACCGGAUGAGACGGGACCCGCGAUGGCGGGACCCGGGAAAGGCGCUGCGGCGCCGCCGGGGGAUGAGUCUGCGUCCCAUUAGCUAGACGGCGGGGUAACGGCCCACCGUGGCGACGAUGGGUAGCCGGCCUGAGAGGGUGGACGGCCACAUUGGAACUGAGACACGGUCCAGACUCCUACGGGAGGCAGCAGCUAAGAAUCUUCCGCAAUGGGCGAAAGCCUGACGGAGCCGACGCCGCGUGAACGAAGAAGGCCGUGAGGUUGUAAAGUUCUUUUCGGGAGGGGGAACAACCGUGGCAGGGAAUGGCCGCGGGAUGACGUGAAUCCCGGAAUAAGCCCCGGCUAACUACGUGCCAGCCGCAGC
rnacentral:rRNA from 1 species